CCGCUGGAACUUAAGCAUAUCAAUAAGCGGAGGAAAAGAAACCAACAGGGAUUGCCCCAGUAACGGCGAGUGAAGCGGCAACAGCUCAAAUUUGAAAUCUGGCUUCGGCCCGAGUUGUAAUUUGUAGAGGAAGAUUUUGGUGAGGCACCUUCUGAGUCCCCUGGAACGGGGCGCCAUAGAGGGUGAGAGCCCCGUAUAGCUGGAUGCCUAGCCUGUGUAAAUCUCCUUCGACGAGUCGAGUAGUUUGGGAAUGCUGCUCUAAAUGGGAGGUAAAUUUCUUCUAAAGCUAAAUAUUGGCCAGAGACCGAUAGCGCACAAGUAGAGUGAUCGAAAGAUGAAAAGCACUUUGAAAAGAGGGUUAAACAGCACGUGAAAUUGUUGAAAGGGAAGCGCUUGUGACCAGACUUGCGCCGGGCGGAUCAUCCGGUGUUCUCACCGGUGCACUCCGCCCGGCUCAGGCCAGCAUCGGUUUUCGUGGGGGGAUAAAGGCCCGGGGAACGUAGCUCCUCCGGGAGUGUUAUAGCCCUGGGCGCAACGCCCUCGCGGGGACCGAGGUUCGCGCUUCUGCAAGGAUGCUGGCGUAAUGGUCAUCAGCGACCCGUCUUGAAACACGGACCAAGGAGUCAAGGUUUUGCGCGAGUGUUUGGGUGUAAAACCCGCACGCGUAAUGAAAGUGAACGUAGGUGAGAGCUUCGGCGCAUCAUCGACCGAUCCUGAUGUAUUCGGAUGGAUUUGAGUAGGAGCGUUAAGCCUUGGACCCGAAAGAUGGUGAACUAUGCUUGGAUAGGGUGAAGCCAGAGGAAACUCUGGUGGAGGCUCGCAGCGGUUCUGACGUGCAAAUCGAUCGUCAAAUCUGAGCA
rnacentral:rRNA from 1 species